AAAGGAAUAGACGGGGACCCGCACAAGCAGCGGAGCAUGUGGUUUAAUUCGAAGCAACGCGAAAAACCUUACCAAGACUUGACAUCGUAUGAUCACUAUAGAAAUAUGGAAUCCCUUCGGGGCAUAUAGACAGGUGGUGCAUGGUUGUCGUCAGCUCGUGUCGUGAGAUGUUGGGUUAAGUCCCGCAACGAGCGCAACCCUUAUGAAUAGUUGCCAAUAUUAAGUUAGGAACUCUAUUCAGACUGCCGUGGAUAACACGGAGGAAGGUGGGGAUGACGUCAAAUCAUCAUGCCCCUUACGUCUUGGGCUACACACGUGCUACAAUGGCUAUUACAAAGAGCUGCAAUAUCGUAAGAUGGAGCGAAUCUCAUAAAAAUAGUCUCAGUUCGGACUGUGGGCUGCAACUCGCCCACACGAAGUAGGAGUUGCUAGUAAUCCCGAAUCAGCAUGUCGGGGUGAAUGCGUUCCCGGGUCUUGUACACACCGCCCGU
rnacentral:rRNA from 1 species